rnacentral:rRNA from 1 species
UACCUGCCGCCGCCACCGUCGCGGGGUAGGCUGCCCCACGGACUAGACGCGCCUCUACCACCGCCGCCGCUGACGCCUAGGUUGCGGGGCUAGCCUAGGCGGCGCUCCACCGGAAGGCGGCUGGCCGCCGCGCACCUCCCUGUCCACUCCUCUACAGCCUAGAGGCGGCCAAAUGGCUGCCGCUGCAAGCAGAAGCACCGCUCUGAGGUGAGCCAUGCGUGCGGCGUGCGGCGUGCGGCGUGCGGAGAGCAAAGGAGGUUAAACAAAGGGUUGGGCCGUUGAGAAAGCUAGAGCAGAGGAGCGGAGAGGUAACGUCGCCGUUCGGCCGUUGUCGUCCAGCCGGCCGCCGUCGCCGACUGUUAACUACAGGUUUAACUUCAACUGCUCUAUUACGACGUCCGUGAAAUACCGGUGAGUUAUAUGUUCGACCCUCACUACGUGAACGUUGAUUUCCAACCUCGUUAACCUUGUUUUUUUUCCGCUGUUUUAUGGGUACACCCAUUUCAGCGCCAUUCCCGCGGAGGAGCGGAUACGGUACACCUAAAAUGACACAGCUUCUCUUUUCAAUUUUUGCGUUCGGGAGAGCAGAGGACAGAGCGAUCGAGAGAGAGGAGAACGUUGGGGAGCGGCGGCGGCGGUGGUGGGUACGGCCGGCUAAGGCCACUCAGGGCCGCCGCCCACCGUGUGGUUUCUGGUGGGGAGAGUGGCGAGGAAGGAGGGUAGGCAGGUUUAGGCAGUGCUCUCCAAAAGGCGCGAGCGAGGGCUGGGAGUCGGUAUCGAUCCCAAAGCUGCGUCGCAGGGGAAGCAGCGGCCGCUCCGAGACCGCCGGAGGCUGCCGAGUAGAGUCAGGGGAAGCAGCGGGGUGGCGCACCGAGGCGGAGUACCUGCCAGGAGGGUGCGGGCUACCGGUACUCCACGUGCGCUAAACCACGUCGUCGGAGAACAGAGGUAUCUGCUCCUCCCGCUGGCCCUGGGUUCGCGUUCUGCUACUCUCGUGCCAGCAGCCCGUGGCCGUGUGGCCGUCGCGCGCGUACCCGGAGGAGCGGCGCCGGAGCCUGACCUUCUUAAGUACCUGCCAGAUUGGUAGAGUCUUUUAGAUCUACAAGUCUGAAGUCUUACGAACCACGAGGAGAAACACGCACGAACCACGAACGAGGACAUCACUAACUAUCAAGACACGAACGAGUACAGCACUUGUAGUAGUCCAGCGGCCGAAGGAGAUGCUGAACGACCGGAGCAACCACCUGUCUCCCCAGCCGACGGUGAGCGCCGAGACUUAACGUCCUGAGCGACCUACCUACGCUCACACUCGUUGGUUCGAUAUAGUCGACACACUGCUCUCCAGUCUCGCUGCUUAAACUUCGACAAUAAGGGAACGAUAUGGUAAGAGGUGUUGUGUUUUAUAUGGAAUAUCUUGUUCGGUACGACAAGCUUUACGACCGUGUUUAACGAAGACUAUUUCUUCAACUGCUCGAAGAGUACUUCGACGGUGCAGCUAAUGCUCUACGUGAAGAUGGGAAGGUUGAACUUCCACAGUUUAAACCCGAAGCCUCCGUUCCCGCGACGGAAUAAUGUCUACUCUACCCGAACCGUUCUGAUUGGUCACAUAGAUUAAACUAGGACUUACGAACACUUCAAUGUUGCUAGAGUUAUAAAUAAAAGUAGUUCAAACUUAACGGACGGAUGGUGUACACGGUACACUACCUGGGUCUAGUGAGUUUAUUUUUUUUCUAUCUAAACUGCGGCGACGGCACCAGCAGAAGCUACGGCAGCGGCAGGAGGAGAAGCAGUACGUACCACUCCAGCUACAUGCCACCACCGAAAGUAUCCACCCGUCCGACGGGGACGUCGCCGACGUUCCGGCCUCCGCGGACGUUGUGGAGAAGGUCACCGCCCUUGCCGCGGGUGGGUGUGCCCGCCGUGCCUGCACAAGGCCGCACGUGCCGUGGUACAGGCAGGUGCAGGUCCUGACCGGGUGGUUACGGUGCUUCCCACGAGUAGCAGCCGGGGAGGAACUGGAGGAGGUACUGGAGGAGGAACUGGAUGUUGAGGCCCCCCUACCGCUGCAGCGUACGCCGCCUCUCCCGGUCGUAGAGCAGUUCCGGGAGGGUAACCCGUGCAGGUACAGAACCGGAGAAAAACUACAGACGCAAUAGAAGGGCGUCAUCGUGACUUAGCUUGCCCCUUAAGGCCGUUGAAACGUCCACAGACCAUUCGUGGCCUCCCUACCAGACACACCGUGUGUUUUGUGUCACGUUGCUCCCCGACGUAUAGUAGUCCAGCUCCCGAUGUCAGCCGUACCUAUCCCGAGCAGUACGACGCGGCAAGAGGGCUGGAGGAAGGGUAGUGUCGCACUACCCUUAGUGACCGAAUGUUCCUCCUCAUCGUCGGCACGGACCUUCCGCACCUCGUCCCCCGCCACUUCCAGGACUAGUCCACGAGACCAGCGCGUUCCCCUCGCGCCGCGUGUUGGAGGCGGACGACUUCUGCUACACCGUCACGCCACACCCGGAACUGCCGUUCGCGUUGCUGGUCGACCUGAUGCCGUUGUCCCUUAAGAGGUAGCUGCUCUGCGGUCGCAAGGCCAAGACGUAACGCGGGAGGCAGGACCUGUGGGGACCACAGAUGUUGCUGCUGGUGAUGAAGAAGAUGCUACGGGCAAUC